rnacentral:lncRNA from 1 species
UCUCUCUCUCUCUCUCUCUCUCUCUCUCUCUCUCUCUCUCUCUCUAUAUAUAUAUAUAUAUAUAUAUAGAAUCCGGCUGGGGUACUAUCGAUAGCGCCAAGGAAUUGGUGCUAUCGAAUUUUCCACCGUUAGAUUUAACCCUUUGAUUAUUUUUAUCCGUUAGAUUAUACUAUUCAACCAACCACUCACUCAACCCUAGAGAGCCCACAUCAUUCUAACCACCUAUUUUUCAAUCCAAGGGCUAAAAAAUCAAUAGCACCAAUAGCUUGGUGCUAUUGAUAGUAUUCCAGUUUUUUCUCUCUCUCUCUCUCUCUCUCUCUCUCUCUCUCUCUCUAUAUAUAUAUAUAUAUAUAUAUAUAUAUAUAUAUAUAUAUAUAAAGUAGAGCUACUAUGCUAUCGGAAGCAUAAAGUAGUUGGUGCUUCCGAUUUUUUGGCCAUUGGAUCAAAAAUUCUACGGUUGGGAUAAUAGCGGUCCCCUUAGGGUUGAGUGGUCCCCAUUUGUUAAUAAUAUUAAUCCAAUGGUUAGAAAUGAUCAGUGGGGCUGAUCUAAUGGCUAAAAAAUCGAAAGUACCAACCAUUUUAUGCUUCCGAUAGCAUAGAAGCUCUACUUUAUAUAUAUUAUAUAUAUACACACACAUAUAGAGCUAGGCUCCUAUACUUUCGAAAUCACGGAGGCUUCCGUAUUUAUAGGUUAUUUUCGAUGAUGGGACAUCCUAUUCAACGAUCGGUUCCAUUAGAUAUGAUCUACGCUAUUGAAACUAUCUAAAAACCAAAUUCCAUAAUUUUUUUACUUCGUUUGCCUAGUGAACGAGUAGCUUCAAAAUGAAUGGCUGAAAAUAAAAAUCUCAUAAAAAAUAAUGAUAAAUGACUCAAAUUUCAAAUCAGAAAUAUUAUUCUUAUUCUUGAUAUUAAGUAGAAUUUUUUAUUAAAUUUUCAUGUAAUUUGAAUACUUCUACGCUGUUGAACUUAAAAACAUGCCACAUCGGCCGUUAAAAUAGUCAUUUUUGAAAUCCUAUGAUCGAUUGGUAAAUAAUAUAAAAAUAUUAUGAAAUUUGAUUUCUAGAUAGUUCCAAUAAUGUAGAUUAUACCUAACGGGGCCGAUCGUCAAAUCGAAUAUUUUAUCAUCGAAAAUAAUUUAUAAGUACGGAAGUCUCCGUACUUUCGAAAGUACGUGAGACGUACUCCACAUAUAUAUUACAUCUCUUGUUCUUUCGAAAUUAAUACAGAGGUUUUCGUGCUUUCAAAUUAUUUAUGAUGAUGAGACAUCCAGUUUGACGAUCUACUCUAUUAUAUAUGAUCUACACUAUUAAAACUAUUUAGAAAUCAAAUUAUAUAAUUUUUCGGCAUUGUUUGCCAAGUGGUCAAAGAUUUUAAAAAUAACUAUUUUAAUAGCCGAUGUGGCACAAUAUAAGUUCAACAGUAUAGAACAAUCCAAUUUUUUUAAAAAAUUAAUAAAAAAUUUUACUUACCAUCAAGAGCAAGAGCAAUAAUUCCGAUUUGAAAAUUGCCUUUUAUCAUUAUUUUUUAUGAUAUUUUUAUUUGCAGCCAUUCAUUUUGAGACUACUCGUUCACUAUACAAAUAAAACCAAAAAAUUAUAAAAUUUGGUUUCUAUAUAACUUCAAUACUAAAAAUCAUAUCUAACGGAGCCGAUCGUUGUAUAGGAUGUUCUAUUAUUGAAAUCAACUUAAAAACACGAAGGCCUCCGUACUUUCAAAAGUAUAAUAGCCUCUCUCACUCUCUCUCUAAUACAACUGUGACACUCCUAGGAUUUUGAAUAAUCAUAUAUAUAAGAUAUAAUAGCCCUAAAUCUCUUAACCCAAUUAUAGUAUUUUUUUUUUGCAGUGGUUGGGCACAAAAGGUUAAAAGAGUAGUGUGCUAGAACUAA